rnacentral:lncRNA from 1 species
ACCACCACCAACACACACACACAGCAGCAUCAGCAUCAGCAUCAGCACCAGACAGUGAGUUAACCACCACCAACACACACACACACACACAGCAUCAGCACUAGACAGUGAGUUAACCACCACCAACACACACACACAGCAGCAUCAGCAUCAGCAUCAGCACCAGACAGCUGCUGUGAGGUGCCACUGCCAGCAGAGGGCAGCGGUGUCCAGAGGGGAGAGACGUACACACUACGACAAAUCCACCCAGACCCCCUGGAGAGGCCCUGCGCCUCCAGUUCUACAACCUUCCAGCACCUUCCCCAGCAAGCCCCUCACCUCGGGAAGCCUAGCAAGAACAGCCCACACAGAGGACCGCAGUGAUCUCAGGCCAGCCGGGGUGUCCCGUGGCCCGACAGCCUCCACCCUGAACGGCGCUGUCACCGCUGCCCUACCACCCCUGCCUGACCCAGAGGAGCUCAGUCUGCUGCUCAGUACGCAUCUCAAGAUUUACGACAGCGAGGAUCCACAGACAUCCAAAUCCCUGACCUUGGGCCAUCCACCCGGCCUGGAGAGACAGCCAGGGGAAGGUGUUCUGCGGGUCUCCAAGUCCCUGUCCUUAGACCAUCCACCCAGCCUGGAGACACAGCCAGCGGACGGUGCUCUGCAGGGCUCCAGGUCCCUGUCCCAUCUCCCCCUGAGUCCCCGCGUCCUGCAGCCCCCCCGCAUUCACAAAAGGGUGUCCAUCCCGGUCCUGAUGCAAGGGGACGCCAGAGUGUCUUCUGAUAUGGCUAGGCCCAGCCUAAAGCCUGGGUCCACAGUGAACCCCAGGCAGCUCAAGCAGCUCCCACCUCCAUCCAGGGGCCUCCCCUGCUUCAACACAGGGCCCCAGGCCAUGGGUCCAAGCCUGGCAGCCAUGCUGCUGGGACAGCCCAAACCCCUGGGGCUGAGGAGAGACCCUACUCCCAUCCAGGGAGAGAAGGACACCGGGCUGAUUCCCAGGACCCGGACCCUGGUCCCCAUCAACCUGUCGACAAGAUUCCCCAAGCAGCCAAACAAGACUGCUUCUCAGGACCCGGAGUUUGGUCCCCGUAAAUCUCUGGAGGAGAUGCUGUUGCCCAAGCCAAAGAUCCACUACCGACUCAGCCCACCUGAGCAGUCACACUGCAGCUAA